AGUGAACGCUGGCGGCGUGCCUAAUACAUGCAAGUCGAACGGAAUUUAAAAGGGCUUGCUCUUUUAAAUUUAGUGGCGCACGGGUGAGUAAUAUAUAGCUAAUCUGCCCCUUGCUGGAGGACAACAGUUAGAAAUGACUGCUAAUACUCCAUACUCCUUUUUACCAUAAGAUAAAUCGGGAAAGAAUUUCGGCAAGGGAUGAGACUAUAUCGUAUCAGCUAGUCGGUGGGGUAACGGCCUACCGAGGCUAUGACGCGUAACUGGUCUGAGAGGAUGAUCAGUCACAUUGGAACUGAGACACGGUCCAAACUCCUACGGGAGGCAGCAGUAGGGAAUAUUGCGCAAUGGGGGAAACCCUGACGCAGCAACGCCGCGUGGAGGAUGACACUUUUCGGAGCGUAAACUCCUUUUGUUAGGGAAGAAUAAG
rnacentral:rRNA from 1 species